GCCGAUGUAGCUCAAGGGUAGAGCAAUUGAUUUGUAAUCAAUAGGUUGGGGGUUCGAUUCCCUUCAUCGGCUCCA
rnacentral:tRNA from 1 species